CCUACGGGAGGCAGCAGUGGGGAAUAUUGGGCAAUGGGCGCAAGCCUGACCCAGCAACGCCGCGUGAAGGAAGAAGGCUUUCGGGUUGUAAACUUCUUUUCUCAGGGACGAAGCAAGUGACGGUACCUGAGGAAUAAGCCACGGCUCACUACAUGCCAGCAGCCGCGGUAAUACGUAGGUGGCAAGCUUUAUCCGGAUUUACUGGGUGUAAGGGUUGUGUAGGCGGGUACGCAAGUCAGAUGUGAAAACCACGGGCUCAACCUGUGGCCUGCAUUUGAAACUGUGUUUCUUGAGUACUGGAGAGGCAGACGGAAUUCCUGGGGUAGCGGUGAAAUGCGUAGAUAUUAGGAGGAACACCAGUGGCGAAGUCAGUCUGCUGGACAGCAACUGACGCUGAGGCGCGAAAGCGUGGGGAGCAAACAGGAUUAGAUACCCGUGUAGUC
rnacentral:rRNA from 1 species